UAAUAGUUAGUUUAAAACAAAACAAGUGAUUUCGACUCACUAAACUAUGGUCUUAUCCAUAACUAUUAA
rnacentral:tRNA from 1 species